rnacentral:rRNA from 1 species
UACGUAGGCAGCGAGCGUUGUUCGGAGUUACUGGGCGUAAAGGGUGUGUAGGCGGUUGUUUUAAGUUUGGUGUGAAAUCUCCCGGCUCAACUGGGAGGGUGCGCCGAAUACUGAAUGACUUCGAGUGCGGGAGAGGAGAGUGGAAUUCCUGGUGUAGCGGUGAAAUGCGUAGAUAUCAGGAGGAACACCGGUGGUGUAGACGGCUCUCUGGACCGUAACUGACGCUGAGACACGAAAAGCGUGGGUAGCAAACAGG